rnacentral:rRNA from 1 species
CGUAACUAGAGCCAUCGAUGCGGUGGGUGCCUUAAAUUUCUCGGAUUUCCUCGCACCCAGUAUAUAAGACGACUCGCAGCAAGAACGGUUCCAACAUACAGAAAAAAGUUGGAUGAGUUCAGGUUUGGCAACCCCGGGGAAUCUCCAAGAUUGGUACUUCGUGCUUCCAGGGUUUUUGCGUAUCAAAGGGGAGGUUUCUAUUGGAGGGGUCAACCCCUUGCGUAAUCUAUAAAUGGAUUUGGACACCCAGGAACUCGCCUAGGGUGUAAUCGAGGUUCUGCGACCAGAGAUUGAUCUUUUCAUUUACGAACUCGAACUCUUCGAAGACCGGGCCACCCAGGUAUUUUGAGUGAGCCUAUUCGACAUAAUAACUUGGUAUGAUUUGUUGUUCACUAUUUUGGUUUCUGUCUAUUUCGUCGAUUUGAUAUUCUGUUCAUUCGAAGAGGUCUGGUAUGUUUACGUGCCGCUCGGGUACGCUUCCCAAACCAAUUUUAUACGGUUUAAGGCGGUUUAUGUGUUUAUUUUGGGUUGGUAUGUACGGGUGGUUAAUAUAGAAGAUUUAGUAGAUGUGAUUGUUAGGUGGGAAGAGGUGGUUUUCCUCUAAAAUCAUUUAUUGGUUUAUAUUGUGACCCUGAUUCCCAGUUUAACCAUUAAAAAGAAUGUAGAGGGGGGGUCCCCGGGUCCAUAGUAUAUGUGGCGGUUUUAUUUCUCGGAACUCAUGAUCUUCUUUUCGUGGAUCUGGAUUGUUUUAAUUCACUUAUGGGUUUUAACAUCAGUAAAAUAAAGAUAGAAAGGUCUGUAUUGGUUUCUUACCUUUUCUAAGGAGUUCUCAGAGCCCAGGGUCUUCGCGCACUAUUUACGGUGGCUUCGGAUUUUGACGUCUCCUUUAAUCCACUUCAUGCGGUCUAUGUUUCAUGCCUUUUCAUAGAUCUUGAAGGGGGGGACCGGGAUGAGGGGUUGGAUCUCAUCGAUUCACACCUUCAUUUUAGUUGGGAACAAGUAUGUACCCGAAAAGACCAUGCUUUACCCGGUGAAGUUUAUCCAAGUAACGAGACCGGGUCUUAUGCUAAUUAGGCCGUACCCGAUGUACUCGAGGUUCAUCAAAUGGCCUGUUUAACUAUUCAGACCGUAAGGGUCGGGUGGUUCGUUUCGGCCACCAAAGAACCAGUGCUGGUCGAUUUUGCUUUCAAGGUAAUUUCUCGCAAAGGUGCACCAUCUUGGAGGAGUCCCUUAUAUUCUAAAAGUACUCCGACUAGGACUCGACGGUAGGUGCGUGCUUAUGGGAGCAAAUUUUCUUAUAAAAACCACAUCUUUCAGAGUUUAAGUCCUAGAAGGCGACGUGCCUAAAGGACCCUUUGUUUCAGUAUCCGUGCAUUCAAGUCUCGGUUCGGUUGAUGCGGUUAUCGUGAGUAGGUAUUUGGCCACUGCCCAUGUUUAUCGUAUUUCUUUACAUUGGUUGCAAAUAACCUUUUUCGUUGUGGUUUCUAAACCCUGGUUUUCGCCAAUCGUCACUGGUAACUUAUUCAAAGAAGUCGAACUCAACCCAAUUUUCGUGCCUUCCAUAAACGUGGUAGUGGCAGGAGUUUAUCUCACAAAAGAUGCCAGCGAGGUACUUAUCGCGUAUCGUCUCGGCGUGGAUUAUGAGGCCGUUGAGGGUAGUAUACUUUACCCAAGUUGCAGGUUAAUACUUUAGGAACUUUCUUUUCCUACUUAGCUUUAUAGCGACGAUGCGGUUUUGAGCCGCGUUUCUUGGUUGGUCUAACGGGGUCACCUAUUUAUUCCUUAUGUCUUUGUUUUUGUCGUUAACCUGGUCUCUUACUCUAACGUAAUAUUCCGGCGUUAACUUGUUUGGCUCGUUCAAGUUUAACCGCAUUGUACUUUGGAUAAUCACGUUUUCGGGGCACCUCUCGAUGUUUUCAGGUAUCUGGCGGAUUAACUGUGGUUGCUCAUUUUAGAGGAACACGAAGCCCGGGGGUAUCAUCGUUUUUUCUCACACGAUUUGAUAACCGUCCCCAUCUUUGACGACGUCAAUUCUUUAAUGUUGGAAGGUUUAUCCUUGAUCGGUUAGGUACCCAUAUGGUUCUUCAAUGUUUUCAACAGGGACAUUUGGUUGGGGGAUUUCGCUUUAUUCGUGUUCCUUUCUCGUUAUCCGGUCUGGUAGGAUGUUUUUGCUUUGCCAGGGAAGCAUUGGUCAGUAGGUAUCAUAGUUUAUCUAGUAAAAGAAGAAAUCCUUAAGAUGGUUCCCGGUAUCAGUAUCACUAGGAGGAUAAGUUAAUGAAGUUGGUAAAGGCUCGUGGAGUAUAGUGAAAGGUUCCGUAUACUAUCAAAAUAGUAGACACCUGCUAAAGAAAGAGCAAGUUACGGGAAAAAGUUACCAGAGCUUCUCUCUUUAAAGGGUAAAAAUAGAUACCUCAGUGUUGGCUCCAGCACCAUUUAGGUACUUAAACUAAGCUAAACAAAAAGAAUAUGAUAAACAAAAAGAAUAUGAUAUCUUUAUCUUUAUUAAAAAGAAAGAAAGAAUAUGAUAUCUUUCUUUAUUUGGAAACUUAAGUCGUAAUAAGGUUCUGAGGAUAAAGUUUCAGAUAGAAAAUUCCCUUUUUACUUUUAUUUUCAUUGGGAAGAAAAGGGUAAGGGAGAGAUAACGUACCCACCUUCUUGAUUUUAUCUCCUAAGACUUUUUUUUCCUGGAAGCUUUAGGUUAAAAUACACAUCGCGUUUCCUCAACGCUAAAGAAGAAUAAGGAUAUCUUGUAGAUCAUUGUUCUUAUACUUUAGCAUUUAUCGCUUUUUAAGAACAGAACGCGCCAGAUUCAGAUUCCUUUAUUUUUUUUAAGCGAAUAUGUUAAAGUAGAUGUAGCUUAAAUAUAUAGUCUUAUCGCCUAUCUCCGUAGUAAUUUCCUCAGUCCAGAUGAAUGAAAUACGAAGAAAGGUUAAAAUACCACCUAAACUAUUCUUGGGAAAAACGAAAGAACUAUUUAUUA